rnacentral:rRNA from 1 species
UACAGAGGGUGCGAGCGUUGUUCGGAAUUAUUGGGCGUAAAGCGCUGGUAGGUGGCUUGUUAAGUCGCGUGUGAAAGCUUCCGGCUCAACCGGAAAAGUGCGCGCGAAACUGGCGAGCUUGAGUGCCGGAGAGGGUUGCGGAAUUCCUAGUGUAGAGGUGAAAUUCGUAGAUAUUCGCAAGAACACCAGUGGCGAAGGCGGCUCACUGGCCCGGUACUGACGCUGAGGUGCGAAAGCGUGGGGAGCAAACAGG